GUGCCAGCAGCCGCGGUAAGACAGAGGUGGCGAGCGUUAUCCGGAUUUACUGGGCGUAAAGGGCGUCUAGGCGGCCGGACAAGUCAUCUGUGAAAGCCCCCGGCUCAACUGGGGGUGGUCAGGUGAACUGCCCGGCUGGGGUGCAGGAGAGGGGAGUGGAACUACCGGAGUAGCGGUGAAAUGCGCAGAUACCGGUAGGUACCCCAACGGCGAAGGCAACUCCCUGGCCUGUCACCGACGCUGAAGCGCGAAAGCGUGGGGAGCGAAAGGGAUUAGAUACCCCUGUAGUCCACGCCUCAAACGAUGCGGGCUAGGUGUUGGGUCCCUAAAGAUGGCUCAGUGCCGCAGUUAACGCGUUAAGCCCGCCGCCUGGGGACUACGGCCGCAAGGCUAAAACUCAAGGGAAUUGACGGGCCCCCGCACAAGCGGUGGAGCACGUGGUUCAAUUCGAUGAUAAACGAAGAACCUCACCUGGACUUGACAUGCAUGUGGUACCGAACCGAAAGGGGAGGGAUCUGCUAGCUUCGGCUAGCGGAGCAUGCACAGGUGGUGCAUGGCUGUCGUCAGUUCGUGUCGUAGGACGUCGGGUUAAGUCCCUCAACGAGCGCAACCCCUACUACCAGUUGCCAGCGGUUCGGCCGGGGACUCUGGUAGGACUGCCGGCGAAUAACCGGAGGAAGGAGGGGAUGACGUCAAGUCAGUAUGCCCCUUAUGUCCAGGGCGACACACGUGCUACAAUGGUCGGUACAAAGGGCAGCGAACCCGCAAGGGGGAGCGAGUCUCAGAAAGCCGGCCUCAGUUCGGAUUGGGGUCUGCAACUCGACCUCAUGAAGCUGGAAUCGCUAGUAAUCGCAGGUCAGCCAUACUGCGGUGAAUACGUACUCGGGGGUUGUACACACCGCCCGUCACACCAACCGAGUGAGGAGCACCCGAAGUCCUCUCAGCCAAUAUGAGGGCCGAAGGUGAGCUUCGCGAGGGGGGUGAAGUCGUAACAAGGUAACC
rnacentral:rRNA from 1 species